GAGGUCUAGCCUGCCCAGUGACGUUCAACGGCCGCGGUAUCCUAACCGUGCAAAGGUAGCGUAAUCACUUGUCUUCUAAAUAAAGACCAGUAUGAAAGGCACCACGAAGACUAAACUGUCUCCCCCUUCUAAUCAGUGAACCUAAUCUCCCCGUGAAGAAGCGGGGGUAAAGCCAUAAGACGAAAAGACCCUAUGGAGCUUAAAACAAUUGUAUGUUUUUGGUUGGGGUGACCGCGGAGAAAAAUCCAUCCUCCACGAUGAAAAAUGAGCCACAACUUUAUGUAUUAAUAAAUUAACAUCUUUGACCCAAUUACUUUGACUAACGAACCAAGUUACCCUAGGGAUAACAGCGCAAUCCACUUUGAGAGCUCCUAUCGACAAGUGGGCUUACGACCUCGAUGUUGGAUCGGGGUAGCCUAGUGGUGCAGCCGCUACAAAGGUU
rnacentral:rRNA from 1 species